UACGUAGGGACCAAGCGUUGUUCGGAUUUACUGGGCGUAAAGAGCUCGUAGGCGGUUUGGUAAGUCGGGUGUGAAAUCUCCACGCUCAACGUGGAGGGGCCACUCGAUACUGCCAUGACUCGAGUCCGGUAGAGGAGUGUGGAAUUCCCGGUGUAGCGGUGAAAUGCGCAGAUAUCGGGAGGAACACCCGUAGCGAAGGCGGCACUCUGGGCCGGCAUUGACGCUGAGGCGCGAAAGCCAGGGGAGCAAACGGG
rnacentral:rRNA from 1 species